CUACGGGGGACUCCAGUGGGGAAUCUUGCGCAAUGGGCGAAAGCCUGACGCAGCAACGCCGCGUGCGGGAUGAAGGCCUUCGGGCUGUAAACCGCUUUCAGCAGGAACGAAAAUGACGGUACCUGCAGAAGAAGGAGCGGCCAACUACGUGCCAGCAGCCGCGGUGACACGUAGGCUCCAAGCGUUGUCCGGAUUUAUUGGGCGUAAAGAGCUCGUAGGCGGUUGAGUAAGUCGGGUGUGAAAACUCUGGGCUUAACCCGGAGACGCCAUCCGAUACUGCUCUGACUAGAGUUCAGGAGGGGAGUGGGGAAUUCCUAGUGUAGCGGUGAAAUGCGCAGAUAUUAGGAGGAACACCGGUGGCGAAGGCGCCACUCUGGACUGAAACUGACGCUGAGGAGCGAAAGCAUGGGUAGCAAACAGGAUUAGAUACCCUUGUAGUC
rnacentral:rRNA from 1 species